UACAGAGGUCCCGAGCGUUGUUCGGAUUCACUGGGCGUAAAGGGUGCGUAGGUGGUUGGUUAAGUUUGAGGUGAAAGCUCCGAGCUCAACUCGGAAAAUGCCUUGAAGACUAUCUGACUAGAGGAUUGGAGGGGAGAUUGGAAUUCUCGGUGUAGCAGUGAAAUGCGUAGAUAUCGAGAGGAACACCAGUGGCGAAGGCGAAUCUCUGGACAAUUCCUGACACUGAGGCACGAAAGCCAAGGGAGCAAACGGG
rnacentral:rRNA from 1 species